rnacentral:rRNA from 1 species
UACGUAGGGUGCGAGCGUUAAUCGGAAUUACUGGGCGUAAAGCGUGCGCAGGCGGCUUGCCAAGUCAGAUGUGAAAGCCCCGGGCUCAACCCGGGAACUGCGUUUGAAACUGGCAGGCUAGAGUUUGGCAGAGGGGGGUGAAAUUCCACGUGUAGCAGUGAAAUGCGUAGAGAUGUGGAGGAACACCGAUGGCGAAGGCAGCCCCCUGGGCCAAAACUGACGCUCAGGCACGAAAGCGUGGGGAGCAAACAGG